UACGGGGGGGGUAAGCGUUGUUCGGAUUCACUGGGCGUAAAGGGUGCGUAGGUGGUCGGGUAAGUCUGAUGUGAAAUCUCCGAGCUUAACUCGGAAAUGGCAUUGGAUACUAUUCGGCUAGAGGGUUUGAGGGGGGACUGGAAUACUUGGUGUAGCAGUGAAAUGCGUAGAUAUCAAGUGGAACACCAGUGGCGAAGGCGAGUCCCUGGAAAACUCCUGACACUGAGGCACGAAAGCUAGGGGAGCAAACAGG
rnacentral:rRNA from 1 species